AGUGGACGCAUCACUGGUGUUCGGGUUGUCAUGCCAAUGGCAUUGCCCGGUAGCUAAAUGCGGAAGAGAUAAGUGCUGAAAGCAUCUAAGCACGAAACUUGCCCCGAGAUGAGUUCUCCCUGAGACUUUAAGUCUCCUGAAGGAACGUUGAAGACGACGACGUUGAUAGGCCGGGUGUGUAAGCGCAGCGAUGCGUUGAGCUAACCGGUACUAAUGAACCGUGAGGCUUAACCUUACAACGCCGAAG
rnacentral:rRNA from 1 species